UAGGAGUUCUAUACAAAAUAAAUAAAUAGUUACAUUAUAAGGAGACAACGGUCCAGCAACCCAAAGUUGACUGGGAGACGACGGCCUAGACCUCUCACGAACACAUCACAACAUCCUCCAUGGGCCUCAUCCUGGGGUACCUAUUCUUGACCUGUGGGGGGGUGUGAGACAGCAAGAGUGAGCUCACAUACGUUCAUCGCUCAACAAGUUGUGGGGAAUAAUGUGCAUGAACUCGCCAAAGGUGGGAGCUCACGUGAAGUGUAAGGCUUACCAAAGAAGAUGGUUAGAGUUGAGCAUUGCUUUUAAAGUUGAUCAAAAUUUUAUUAGCAGUUACUAAGUAUAAGUAAAUACCAACCCAAUUAAGUAGUAGAACAACAGUAACAACAUCACCUGCGAUGCAAUGCAUAUGACAAAUUGAAUUUAGUUCCAUAGAUUAAUCAUGUGAGUGUCCGAGCUGCUCAUGACCGUGAGCACGGCUAGUAUACCAGUUUUACACUCUACAGAGGUUGCACAUCUUUACCCACAAGUCACGUUACCCAUCUGCCAAGAGACGGUCAAUCCCAUACACCUCUACCGAGGAGGCGAGGCAGGGUAACACUACGAGGCCUUUACAAAGUUCCACUAGCUUCAGAAAACCCGCUACAGUUUAUAGGAAGCUCUAGUGCAGGAGUCCCUCGACUGACCGCCAUCGCAGCAAAAUCAACCAAGGACCUCCCUACACUGACCACUCCCCUACUGCCCGUGCCCCUUUCGGGUAAGGUAAUCAUCCACUAGCUUUCCUAGUUAAUCAGCCAAGGGCGUCCAUAAACCCUUGUGGUAGCACUGUUUUCCCGGGUGGUUCUCCAUGUUCCCAUUAACAUAAUGAUCUUAUCAUGAACAUUAAAUAAUGAACAGAUAAUAAAAAGUGUAAUCAUGAGUAGUGAAUAUCUCUAUACCCAAAACCACAUAAAGCAAUAGCAUGUACUACCCAAAAAGUUCAGUGGAGUCAAGGUAUAAAGAUAAUCAAACUAGGGUAACCUGUUGGGUCCCAUCAAAAUUAACCUAUGCAGAUCAUUAUGAUUAAUCAGAACAUGACUGGGUAAAAAGAAGUGAUCAAGGGCACAACUUGCCUGGGACUUGAGAUUCCAGGUACCAACUUGCUCUUCAUAUGACUCGUGACAUCACGCUAGUCGUGGCAGUACAAACAAAGAUGUGUAGGCAAAAUUAACAUCACACCAAACAUGAGAAUAAACUGUGUAAUAAUAAUCUACGCGAAGCUACGAGAUCGGGGGAUCGAGAAUCACCAAAAUCGGAGCUACGGUUAUCGAGUUACGAAUUUCUGGGGUUAUUGAGUACAUGGUAUAGAUUAAUUCAGAUAAAUAAUUUUAAUUCAUAUUUUAUUGCUAAACAGAGGUACUAAGUGGUAGACAAUAUUAAAACAAAAUUAAUGCAACUGGAAUGACUUAAUUUGGAGUUGAAAUGAAUUUAAUAUGAAUUAUAUAAGUUUAUGGAAUUAUUUUCAUACUAAAAACCUAUUUCUUUAUUAAUUUCUGAAUAUUCUAAGUGUUCUGGACUCGGCACAAUAUUUCUUAAAAGAUCAGAGGUCUAAAUCUCAAUUUUCCCAAGACUCGGUAUUCCCACAAUGUGGACUGCGGGUUGACUUAGGAAAAAAAUGUAGGGGUUCUUUUAUAAUUUAGCCGCGGCCAAGGGGUACGCGCCAAUCUGCGCCAUCCGAUCAAGAGUGGGCGGCCCAGAUUAAAUCCCCAUAUAAGUGAGUCGGUACACGCAUCUACGACCGCACGCUCCGCAAUCAACGGCCCAGCAAUAGCCACGCCAUGAUCACGCCAGAACAGCCCGGAUCCGUUGGUUUGGUUAUCAACAGUUCAGAUCAAUCCGCACGAAGAGGUAUCCUCAGCUUCUAAUCUGGCGCGCUAGCAUAAGAUCCAACGGCGGCUGUUCAAACCCCCCCCCCCAUGGCGGAGCCAUGGCUGGCCAUGGUCGUCCCACGCCAUGGUGCUUCAAGUUCAAAACUGAAUGCCGCAAAAUCGUAUGGAGGACAAAGCGAAGGUGUCAGGGGACUUUUUACCUGGAUAUAGUACGCCCACAUAUCCCGCCCACGGUACAGGUGGCUCCGCGGUGGCGCCCCCAGGUUCGAUGACGAAUUCCGGACGAGUCCCGCCAUUCCCCGCCCCGAAAGGUCACGCAAACACACGGUGUAUGUCUGUGAAGCACUCAGCCCUCCCAAUUUGGCCUGACCGGCAAGGCAGCCGAAAGGCACCGGUAAUGCCCCAAUCUCUCUCUCACCCGAGGUCUCUGGCGUGAUGCUUUGGGCUUACACGGCCAUCUAUUUAUAGAGGAGGGUGAGUCCGCGUAGAGGGAAAUUCGUUGGCGGGGAAGGGAAGACCCCGAGAUCUCCUGCGACGGUCAUGGCAGCCACUAGAGGUUGAGCGAUUUCCGCCCAAGGCCAAUGCCAGAGAUCCCGGUGGCUUCUGUUGAAGCACGGCGAUCCCGGGGCGGUGAAGACCACCCAGGCGAGCUACAGGCUGACUCCGCGCGGGCGGUUGCCGGGCAGCGCGGAUUCGUUGCGAGGUUCACGGCGUGGGUUGCACAUCAAAACGGCAUUCCGAUCUCUACGGCCUCCACCGCGUUCAUGGUGGAAGGAGGCUUCUGCGCGACAGGGCCCAAACGGCAGAGACCGGGUCAGUGUUGUUUUUCUGCGGAUGGUCCAAGGAGUGGGGUCGAUCCGGUAGCGUUCGGCCCGUGAUUCCUGGUGGCAGCAACACAUUCAGCCGAGUCUGCGUGACUUUCGCGCGAGAUGGGGAAGACGCACCCGACCAGCGGGUCCCACACGCACGUGGCUAUGCGCAAAAGGAAGGGCUGGCACGGUGGGGCCUGGGGCAGCGACCAGGUGAACGCCCGAGCAACGUGCAUGGCUGGCAUCGUUAUCACGUCAAAGCGACAAGCAGGAAAUGAUAGACUCGUUUUUUUUGCUUGCUUGAUGUUAGUAUGACAUAUAUGCGGCAAGAUGAAAUAAUAAAAUAAAAUAAAAAGAAGGGAUGUGGCUACGGUAUUUGGAAAGGCUAGUGGGCGUUUGGGGAAAAGUCGACCUAGGCAACAUUUUUUUCUGUUUAAAUUUUCAACUUCAAAUUAGAC
rnacentral:lncRNA from 1 species